CAGUCGAACGGAUCCUUCGGGAUUAGUGNCGGACGGGUGAGUAACACGUGGGAACGUGCCCUUUGGUUCGGAACAACUCAGGGAAACUUGAGCUAAUACCGGAUAAGCCUUUCGAGGGAAAGAUUUAUCGCCAUUGGAGCGGCCCGCGUAGGAUUAGCUAGUUGGUGGGGUAAAGGCCCACCAAGGCUACGAUCCUUAGCUGGUCUGAGAGGAUGAUCAGCCACAUUGGGACUGAGACACGGCCCAAACUCCUACGGGAGGCAGCAGUGGGGAAUCUUGCGCAAUGGGCGAAAGCCUGACGCAGCCAUGCCGCGUGAAUGAUGAAGGUCUUAGGAUUGUAAAAUUCUUUCACCGGGGACGAUAAUGACGGUACCCGGAGAAGAAGCCCCGGCUAACUUCGUGCCAGCAGCCGCG
rnacentral:rRNA from 1 species